GCCCCUUUCCCGCCCUCAGGCCUCGUCCAGGCUGAGUACUUCCGGCUUUCCUCCUCCCACAAGAUGGCUUCCCGGCUGGGGCUUGCCAGUGUUGUUUUCCUCCACCCCUGUUCAGAAUCAGGGAUGCCCAUCAUCCUUUCGGUUAACCUCAGGCUCCAGUAAUCCUGUCAGUUCCUCUCUUGGUUAGCCUCGUCAUUUGAUAGUAUAGAGUACAAAAAGCAAGGACUUAAGUGUGUGAGUCCAAGCCCUGCCUCCUACCUUUCCCAAAGUAGCAUUGACCUUGACCCUCCUAAAUCAAAAGAGAUUAAAAUGAAGAUUGGUACAUUUUCCCCACACGGGAACAUGUCAUCGUAUUCAUGCUAUGUGAUCUGCUCUGUGGAUUUCCCGGGAGAAGUUAGAAGACAAAAGUCCUCAUCAUCCUGAUCAAUGCAGUUUGAAGAACCUCAGCCAGUCUGCACGAACUCUGGCUGGCCUUUCCUCCAGCAGCUCUCACCUAUGACCCCUGCAGGGUUGCCCCCUGGGAUUCUCAGAAGUUUCACAUCAAUGGACUGGCUCAAUGGGUCCUACCUUGGCCUCUGAGAAGAACUUGACGGUCCAUCAUCCAGAUCGCCAAUUGAACUUUCAGUCGUAAAGAUCCACUCAUCAUUCAUUCAUCCAGCAGACAGCCAGUGAGUUUCUGAUACGCGACACACCGGGCGCAAUGUUAAGGACGGGUAUUUGUUGGUGAACAAAGUUUUCUUAUUGGGGUUUUAUUUUCCCAGGGCUUCCCUUGCUCUGCAACUGCUCUCUCACUGAGCUACGGAACUUUCUUAUGACCUAAGUGUUCUUGUACGUGGGCAAAACAUGCUUAUUGUACCUGGGUUCUUUGUUGUUGAGACAAGAUUCUUAGUUUGAUUUCUUUUUUCUCCCAAGUCAGGUUCUCUGUCCCAUGAUGCUCACAGGGCUGCUUUUGGAUUUUGUUUUUUUCCCCCCACACUAUCUGGUAAUCCUGACUGCAAAUGAAGAGCUAGAUUUGCAAAUAAAGACAGCCUGAAGAUCUCU